UGGCUGCCUUCACUGGUCUUGUCAUCUGAAGGGUGUACUUCAUUCAUGCAGAGUCCUAAAUUGUCAAUGUCUUCACUCUUCUGUCAUGUACUAGCAGAACCCUUGCUCUAUUAUUUGUUCCUUGUCUACCUGACAAGAACAAGUUCCUUUUCACAAAGGCAAUGAAAUGGAGUGUGAGAAGUGUGAGAAGAGGGUGCUGGGGGCAGUGAGGAAGAAGUGCACACGGUGAAGGCCAGCCAUGUGGGCCACACAGCCCAACGACAGGACUGCAGGUGGAAAACAGGGCACCCACAUCAGAGGUGCCAGGACCACCAGGGCCUACUGGAAACCCUAAACAUACAUGAGACAGGCCAGCAUGACGGCUCCUUCGCCAGGCAGCUAACGUGUCUGUAAUGCACUGACUGUUAAAAUGUGGACGUAAUGUUUAUGAUGGGGAAAUGCAGAUGAUAACAUCAGAUUGAAGAGACACCAUCCCCAGAGGAUGCCCAAGUCCCAACUCGAAGGUCCUAAGUAGACAUGAGCACAGAUGUAACACAGACAUUUUUCUCAUGCACACACACAGCAUUGCUUUUGUUUUGCAUGCUGGCCUUUGUCACAUUCAGCUACGCUGUGUAUCGGGUGUAAAGGUUACACGGAGAUGAAAGUCUCAGUGUAAAAUGUCAAAGUGAGAAAGAAAAGAGAUAAUCAUUAUUUGAGUUCUGAACAUUUGUGGGGCGGGGGGAGAGAGAGAGAGAAAAAGCUGUUUCAAGACCUGUCAAUUCCUCCAUGACAAGGUCUUGGAGUGGCUCUGCAUUUUGUCCUGGGCGCCUUGCUCAGAGUGACCAUCCAACACAAGCCUGAUGAAUGAGCAGCUCAUAUGUGAAGAAUGGGCGAUGGUGAGUGACAGAGAGAGGUAUCUUCCACAGCAGGACUUCGAAAAGGCCGUGGGCAUCAUUUGGCUGUGAUUGGAGGCACUGGUCACACAGAGGGGGAUGUGGGAGCUGUGGGGCUGGAAUGCUUUCAUGAUUUUAUUCCCUCACUGGUAUAGAGCACCCACUGUGCAAGGCCUCACUGGGGAGGACCUCCCUCGUGGAGCUCAUGAAGGGGAGGAGGAGGAGGUCGUUACACACAGUGUGACAGGAGGGGUGUCAGACAGAGCUGCGGGGUACGCACAGAGGACAGUGGCCAUGUCCUUCAGCAGGAACCACUGAGUCCCACGGCACCUGGCCUGUGCCUUAUUCGGGGCUGUGUGCUAGAGUCAGAAAGCUUGUGUCCACCCUUACGAAUGGGAAGAGUGCCCUUAUAAAAGGGGCAGAGGGAGUCCCCUUGCCCCUCCCACAAUGUGAGGGCACAUACAAGGCAUUGCUAAAGGUGCCUUGAUCUUGGACUUCCCAGCCUCUAAAACUGUGGGAAAAUAAAUAUCUGUUGUCUACAAAUGACUGAGUGUAAGGUAUUUUGUUACAGAAGCCUAAACAGACCAAGACUGCUCAGUGUGUUCAUGUAUGACACUCUGCCUGUGUCUGCUGCUCCUGGAAGGCCUUUAGAAAACCAGGCAUUCCCUGAGAACUGAACCACAAUGCCUUUCUCUCCCUUUGCAGCCUUCAUCCUGGGCAAUAUUGCUUCACUAGUGUUAGCUGAAUCUAUAUCCUAAGUAGACAUGAGCAUCUAUAAUGCUUAGUACUGUUAAAGACUAUGCAGAUGGUAAAAAUGGUAAAGUCUAUUAAAUACCUAGUAUGUGCCAGGUUCUGUUCUAAGCAUUUUACAUGUUUUAUUCAUGUAAUCUUCAUAAUAACCCUAAAUGGGAGGAACUGCUAAUAUUACCAUUUUACAGAUGAGGAAGCUGAGCCCUCUUUGGUAGAUUGGUGAUGUACCCAUAGCUGGUGUCUGAACUUGGACAGUUGAGCUCCAGACCCAACCCUCUUAAAAAAAAAAAAAAAAAAAA
ensembl:lncRNA